AUUGAACGCUGGCGGCAUGCUUUACACAUGCAAGUCGAACGGCAGCACGGGGGCAACCCUGGUGGCGAGUGGCGAACGGGUGAGUAAUGCAUCGGAACGUACCCAGUCGUGGGGGAUAACGCAGCGAAAGUUGUGCUAAUACCGCAUACGACCUGAGGGUGAAAGCGGGGGACCGUAAGGCCUCGCGCGAUUGGAGCGGCCGAUGUCUGGUUAGCUAGUUGGUGGGGUAAAGGCCCACCAAGGCGACGAUCAGUAGCGGGUCUGAGAGGAUGAUCCGCCACACUGGGACUGAGACACGGCCCAGACUCCUACGGGAGGCAGCAGUGGGGAAUUUUGGACAAUGGGGGCAACCCUGAUCCAGCCAUGCCGCGUGCGGGAAGAAGGCCUCGGUUGUAACGC
rnacentral:rRNA from 1 species